AGAGUUGAUCAUGGCUCAGAUUGAACGCUGGCGGCAGGCUUAACACAUGCAAGUCGAGCGGGGAUAGGGUGCUUGCACCUGAUUCCUAGCGGCGGACGGGUGAGUAAUGCUUAGGAAUCUGCCUAUUAGUGGGGGACAACGUUCCGAAAGGGACGCUAAUACCGCAUACGUCCUACGGGAGAAAGCAGGGGAUCUUCGGACCUUGCGCUAAUAGAUGAGCCUAAGUCGGAUUAGCUAGUUGGUGGGGUAAAGGCCUACCAAGGCGACGAUCUGUAGCGGGUCUGAGAGGAUGAUCCGCCACACUGGGACUGAGACACGGCCCAGACUCCUACGGGAGGCAGCAGUGGGGAAUAUUGGACAAUGGGGGCAACCCUGAUCCAGCCAUGCCGCGUGUGUGAAAGAAGGCCUUUUGGUUGUAAAGCACUUUAAGCGAGGAGGAGGAACUCUAGAAUAAUACUCUAGAUGUUUGGACGUUACUCGCAGAAUAAGCACCGGCUAACUCUGUGCCAGCCGCGGC
rnacentral:rRNA from 1 species